rnacentral:rRNA from 1 species
UACGAAGGGGGCGAGCGUUGUUCGGAUUUACUGGGCGUAAAGGGCGCGCAGGCGGCCGGCCAAGUCAGGCGUGAAAGCCCCGGGCUUAACCUGGGAAUUGCGUCUGGGACUGGUUGGCUAGAGAUCGGGAGAGGAGAGUGGAAUUCCCAGUGUAGAGGUGAAAUUCGUAGAUAUCUGGAGGAACACCGGUGGCGAAGGCGGCAUCCUGGACCGAAACUGACACUGAGGCGCGAAAGCCAGGGGAGCAAACGGG